rnacentral:rRNA from 1 species
UAGGGAAUCUUCGGCAAUGGGGGCAACCCUGACCGAGCAACGCCGCGUGAGUGAAGAAGGUUUUCGGAUCGUAAAGCUCUGUUGUAAGAGAAGAACGAGUGUGAGAGUGGAAAGUUCACACUGUGACGGUAACUUACCAGAAAGGGACGGCUAACUACGUGCCAGCAGCCGCGGUAAUACGUAGGUCCCGAGCGUUAUCCGGAUUUAUUGGGCGUAAAGCGAGCGCAGGCGGUUAGAUAAGUCUGAAGUUAAAGGCUGUGGCUUAACCAUAGUACGCUUUGGAAACUGUUUAACUUGAGUGCAGAAGGGGAGAGUGGAAUUCCAUGUGUAGCGGUGAAAUGCGUAGAUAUAUGGAGGAACACCGGUGGCGAAAGCGGCUCUCUGGUCUGUAACUGACGCUGAGGCUCGAAAGCGUGGGGAGCAAACAGGAUUAGAUACCCUGGUAGUCCACGCCGUNNCGAUGAGUGCUAGGUGUUGGGUCCUUUCCGGGACUCAGUGCCGCAGCUAACGCAUUAAGCACUCCGCCUGGGGAGUACGACCGCAAGGNUG